UGGAUUAGGCAUGCAAGUCGAACGAGCCUUCGGGCUAGUGGCGAACGGGUGAGUAACACGUGGGUAACCUGCCUCGUAGUGGGGAAUAACUCGCCGAAAGGCGAGCUAAUACCGCAUAACACCCUCGGUGAGAAUCCGAGAGGUAAAAGCUUUAUGCGCUAUGAGAGGGGCCCGCGGCCGAUUAGCUUGUUGGUGGGGUAACGGCCUACCAAGGCGACGAUCGGUAGCUGGUCUGAGAGGAUGGUCAGCCACACGGGGACUGAGAUACGGCCCCGACUCCUACGGGAGGCAGCAGCUAAGAAUCUUGCGCAAUGGGCGAAAGCCUGACCGAGCGACGCCGCGUGUGGGAUGAAGGCCCUUGGGUUGUAAACCACUGUCAGAGGGGAUGAAGUGCUAGAGAGCUAUCUCUCUAGUUUGACAUAGCCUCAGAGGAAGCACGGGCUAAGUUCGUGCCAGCAGCCGCGGUA
rnacentral:rRNA from 1 species